CACGUAGGGGGCAAGCGUUUGUCCGGAUUUAUUGGGCGUAAAGAGCUCGUAGGCGGUUUCGUAAGUCGGAUGUGAAAACUCCAGCUCAACUUGGAGACGCCAUUCGAUACUGCGAUGACUUGAGUCCGGUAGGGGAGUGUGGAAUUCCUGGUGUAGCGGUGAAAUGCGCAGAUAUCAGGAGGAACACCGGUGGCGAAGGCGGGUCUCUGGGCCGAUACUGACGCUGAGGAGCGAAAGCGUGGGGAGCGAACAGG
rnacentral:rRNA from 1 species